CCGUGCCCCUGCUCGCGCUGCAGCCCGUGGAAGGGUUCCGUCCAGCGUAUCCUUCAGAUCUUGCUGUAGGCCUCUGGUGUCUGUGCGCGCGCGGCAGGGGCGGCGGCGGCGACGGCCGGAGGUGUACGGUCAGCGGGUUGCGGAGGAUCGUGCGGGUCGCAAAGGGAAGCCGAGUGCUCCUGCGGCUCCCAGACUGCAACCAGGUGUAAAUCCAAACCGCUUCCAACUCAAGGCAAGUAACAGCCCACGGUGUUCUGGCAGGAAAACAUCAGCUAAGAAAGGAAACUGGGUCCUAUGGCUUGGACUUUCCAACUCUGACAGACCGGCAGGACAGAAACAACUGGUUCAGGAGCCCUUGCCAGCCUCUAGAGAAAUCCCAGAACACUCAGCCCUGAUGACACAUUAAUACCCUGCACAUAUUGGAGACUGCUGACCACGCAUACUCACCAAGCCACAGACUUGUCUUCCACAAGCACGUUCUUACCUCAGCCACAAAGUGCCCAAGCCACAUGUACUAAAGGUUGAAAUCAGAGACAUGUACAGGGUAUUAAACAGAUACCAAGGGGAACAGUUAACUUGAAUAUAGCUUGAAUAGAAAGUCAAAAUCAGCAACAAGUCUACAAUCCAGUGCUGAUAUCAGAUACAAGCUUCAAGGACAACUUUCUGUGUAUGUUUUUUUUUUUUUUUUUGAGACGUAGUCUCGCCCUGUUGCCCAGGCUGGAGUGCAGUGGUGCAAUCUCGGCUCACCACAACCUCUGCCUCCCAGGUUCAAGUGAUUCUCCUGCCUCAGCCUCCCCAGUAGCUGGGAUUAUAGGCGAAUGCCACCAUGCCUGGCUAAUUUUUGUAUUUUUAGUAGAGACGGGGUUUCAGCAUGUUGGCCAGGCCGGUCUCAAACUCCUGACCUUGUGAUCCACCCGUCUCGGCCUCCCAAAGUGCUGGGAUUAUAGGCGUGAGCCACCACUUCUGGCCACAAAUUUCUUUUUGAAGGCUUAUUCCAGUUUUGUGAGGCUAGCAUGAGGUGUAUGCAUUUGCCAGGGGCAAAUUUAUACUGCUGAAUUAACCC
rnacentral:lncRNA from 1 species